rnacentral:rRNA from 1 species
AUGGAUGACGCCAACUGCCCCAUUAUGAGUUGGAACGUCCGAGGGCUAAACACACCGGUGCGCCGCUCUGUCAUUUGUGACGCUGCUAACUCGCACAAGCCUGCAAUCCUAUGCCUACAGGAUACCAAGAUUGAGUGUUGAUCGCCAGCUCUAGCCAGAGAAGUAGGGGGUGCAAGGCUCGACGACUACGUAGUACUCCCAGCGAUGGGGACGCGUGGAGGGGCUACAAUCUUUUGGAACUCCAAUAUAGCCUCCGUCCAAUCUCAGGCGAUAGGGCAAUUCUCAAUCACAACAAAAGUGAUGCUUCUGAAAUCCUCGACCUCCUUCUGGCUAACCACGGUGUAUGGGCAUGCACACGAAGCAUGGAAACAUGAUUUCCUCACGGAGAUUGCAAGUGUGGCACCUCCACCUGGUGAAGCAUGGCUGAUCAACGGCGACUUCAACACCAUCUAUGAAGCUAGGGACAAAAGCAACAGCAACAUAAAUCGCCGGACCAUGGCCAAGUUCAGAGUAGCCAUAGACGCAGCUGGAUUCCAUGAAAUCAAAUGCAAAAAUCGUCGUUACACUUGGAGCAACGAACGGUGA